ACUUAGAAAUCCUGCACCUCGGACAGGACUGGUUGGCCAAGGGCCUUUGGGGUGUUGGGGCCCCAAUCAUGCUGUAGAUUCCAUCUUAACCAGAUGGAAAAGGGAUAGCAAGGGAAACGAAAUUAUCCACCCUAUUUCUGGAAAAAAUAUCCUGCAAUUUGUAGCCAUCAAAAGGAAGGACUGUGGAGAAUAGGCAAUCCCAGGGGGUAUGGUGGAUCCAGGAGAGAAAAUUAGUGCUACAUUGAAGAGAGAAUUUGGCGAGGAAGCCAUGAACUCUUUACAGAAAUCUAGGAAAGAAAUGCAGGAGUUGGAGAGACAAUUGCACAAACUCCUCAGUCAGGAACAUUUUGAGGUCUAUAAAGGCUACGUGGAUGAUUCUAGAAACACAGAUAACUGCUGGAUAGAGACAGAGGCUGUGAACUACCGUGAUGAAAUAAUGGACCAUCUUCCUCUGGAAGCUGGCGAUGAUGCCAAGAAAGUGAAAUGGGUGGACAUUAAUGAUAAACUUGAGCUUUAUGCCAGCCUCUCCCAAUUUAUUCAACUUGUGGCUGAGAAACGAGGUGCCCACUGAUGUGAGGAUAUGUAUCCUGAUUGCCAGGGAUAGUAGCUUGGAGUCUCAUGUGAGCCAAAGGCCUUCAAAUGAUCAAGAGUGGAUAAGAGGCA